rnacentral:lncRNA from 1 species
UUUAGUUUACCCAAGAAGAAGAAAAAGUGGGCAGACAGCAAAUGUAGGAUGCAACCAAAAUUAGUUAAGUACAGGAAACACGUGCCUUCUUAUCAUAUCAUUAUUCAACAAUAUUUUAAUUCCUGUUCCCUUUUCGUUCAGAGGGUUGGUACUUGGGUUGGGUUUGGAAGUAAAUACAACAAAGUUGUAUUACAAAUUGAAUUAUCACGUGCAGAAAAUGAUACAGGAAGUUGCUGAUAAUAUUUGUGAAUUGUAUUGUCUAUUCUCGGUUAGACUCAUCAGCGGUAUAUGACUCCAGAAUUUACUUUUUACAUAUGUACUUCUCUCAAUUAUCAAGGAAGAGAGAAAUGGCAAAUCAUCAGUCAGGCUCCAAACCGAGCUACUCUGAUUGGUUGCCUACCCUAAAUCUAGUUAAGGAAAGAGGGUCAUUCUAUCACCUUAGUCACUUCAGAAUGUGCUUUUAUUUAUCAGUCCCUUAAAUCCUUCUUUUCCUUGACAAAUAUUGAUAAUUAAUUGCCCAUUCCUUGUUUUACUACCAGUGCACAGAAACAUUAGAUGCAGGGAACCAAGUUAUUAUAAUCAAGCACAACCAGAUGGAAGCAAAUUUGGUAUAGAGAGAAAACUUCCCAACAUACCUUUAUUACUCGAUGAACAAUUGGAAUUUCACGUCCCUGUGCAACAAAAAAAUUGCCAUCAGCACUAGUAAAUUUCGAAGUCAAUAUAAAUGACAGUAUAAAUUUCAGCUAGAUGAUUUUGACAGAUUGAAGUCCAAUCAAUAAAAUAGAUAAUACUAGUAUUUAUGAGCAAAACUGAAUGGGGUCUAUUCAAUGAAACAUUUUAUUUCCUUACGUCAAUCUUGGACUAUUAGAGACCAAAUCCUUUUUUUUUUGGUUGGGGGUGGGGGGAGAUUGAGGCCAUUUGUUUCAAGAGCUUAUAUCACACUUAGGAUUCUAUAAUGUUCUCAAAUGAUGGUUGCCAAUUUUUUUUAUUAUCUCUUGAUUUAGGUCUAUAGACUAUCACAUCCUAUUUGAUGAUUUCUUCCUAGCAUCACAUACCUAAUUUUCCAUCCAUCCCAUUCCUCGACAAAGAUUUCAAUAUUGAUUUCAUUAACUUAUUUCAUAGUGCAUGCUAGCAAAUCUAAAAUGAAAUAAGUAGAAGUCUCCCGUCACUCGUCAGUUAGGCUUUUAGAUGAGGUGGUUCACUCAAUAUAACAUGAUAUCAUAGUAAAACUGAGCUCCUGCAUUUAAGUCUCACCCCCAGAAAAAAACAUAUUCACGCGCUUAAAUCAAGAGAAAGACUCUACAAGUAAAGGUGAUGCAUACCUAAAUGAAUAUAUAUAUAUUUACCCACCUCUAAUAAACCUUUAUACAAGUCGGGUUACACACCAAUCCUAUCAAUUUUAUUCCUUCUAGAGCUCUGUACCCCCCCCCCCCCCCACCCCCAAAACAAAUUGAUUAUUAGCAAAAUAAUAUGUGCCUAAUCCUGUUGCUGUGGACGAAAUAGAAUUGUGAAAAGGUGCCAAGUUGUUUCUAUGGAAACAUAAAUAACUCCCAAGUAAUUGGCAUUGCCAAAGCUGAGAACACAAAGAAAUAUUGUUUAUCGUGUAUGUUUAUCUUCUCAAAAGCUAAAGUAACUCGAGCAGAAAACAGGUAAAACAGAAGAUGCUGGUAAGAACUACUUACGUCAACAUUAAACACAACAAUUUCUCCCGCACGAAUAGGAUCCUUACUCAUAUGCAAGAAAAGAAUGUCACCCUGCAAGAAAGUAGACGAUGCUUUCAGUAAUACAAAGUCGAAAGAGCAACUAACACUCCACUUAAAGAAGUAUUUCUACUUCUCACUACAGUGAAAACGAAAAGAAAAGGAAUUCAGGAGAGUUCUCAGUUGAGUUUCUCCUUGAUAGUAAGAAAGACACCAGGAUCAUACUGUCACUGACACAUGAAAGGCGUCCUUUGCACAACAUCAGAUAUAGCCAUAUAGGAAGGCUCAUUAUUUAUUUCAAAUAAUAACAAGUUGCUACUGAAACCCUGAAGUCUAUUCAGCAAUAAGCCAAACACAAGAAGAUAUAUCUAGCAUAAAUUAUGCACAUUUAGCUGAUAUACAAGAUAGCUAAACCACAAACUAUUUUUAAUCUUAUUUUGACUCCCUUUCUUUAGUUUCAUAUCCUAAUAUCCUCUAAUAUUUAACCUCUGGUAAAGAAUCUUUAGCAAAGGAUAAAGAAACAAAGUAGCAUGGAGCAAAAGAAGUAGAAACAAGUCCAGCUACAGCUUGCUGUUAUCCGUUUGUUUAGAUGCCUUGCUGUUAUCCGUUUGUUUAGAUGCCCUCUCCCAUCCCCAACUCCUUUUUUUUCUUAUGAACAAGUUUCUUUAGCUCACCCUUUUAAAGCCAGGUUCCAUACUUCCGGAGAGCACAACCACCACAGGUGACUCGCUGCCAGUUACACACAUCAACGCUUUCCAUAUUAUAAGUGCUGAUGUAACAAUCAUCCCUGAAAGUGAUUAUGUGAAGAAGGGUCAGAAUAAAGAAUUAUACAAAGUAAAGAACAAAAUCCAUCAACUUUCAAUUUCAUACUUUUCACACAACAAAAAGAAUUGAAUAUAGAUUUCACAUUUCAUAAUGAACUUUUUUUUGCGAGCGAGGGGUAGAGAAAGAUUUCAGAAAAAAUCUGCAUGUAAGGCUGUUCAGUGUUUGUUUGAAAAAAUUGAAUAACUCAGAUCGAAUAUAAAUUCUUUCAAGAAGUGUGGGGUUGAACUGAUUUUGCCAAAACAAAAAAAAAAGAAGCGCUCUAACGAAUUUGAAACUAUGGUUUUCAAAUUGUUCAAAGACUCUGAUACUCUAUUGUUCAAAAAAAAUUUCAAGAAGUCAAUUCUGAGUUGAAAGAUUUGAAAAAUAGAGUCUGAAAUUAUUUCCCAAAGUAGUCAACUUUCAUUUGGCAAAAGCAGCUAAAACAAACACUUCUUGAAAAGUUUGUAAACUGAAUUCAAGUUCAAUUCUUCAAAUCAAUGCCAACUAGAUAUUCCCUCUAUCCCAAACUAGAAGUCCAACUAUUUUUUAGCUCGUAUAAUCCAGAACAAAGCCAAAGCUAGACACUAAAUCAUUGAGAAGAGGAUAGACAUUCGCUUCAGCUCGCAUCUGCAUUAGUUCCAUACUUGCACUGUUGCACAUUUAAUUAUUUGAGAAGAUGAUUUUCUAAGCUAAUCACUUUUUUCCAUGGGCAAUGUUAAGUUUCAUAGUAACUUAACAUGGAGAUAUAAUUCAACCAUGUCAUUCACAAUGGUGAUAUAAGCCAAAGUUAUUUCUUGCUUUUUAAUGCCAAAAAAUCGACUAGUAUGCAUAAAACAGUUCUCUCUUUUUGCUAACAUUGACUAGAACAGAUUUCUUGAUUUGGGGAUAAAUCUUUCAGCUUUAUAACAUAAAAUAUGUGAACCUAUAGGUAAUAAGUUAAUAAGACAACACAGCUAUCUCAUGCUCUAUAAUUCACCUUGAGGCAAUGAGUACAAAGUUGGAUACUUCAUUUCAUAUUAUUUCAAUAAUUAUAUAAGAAGAAUAAGGUAUAGGAUUUCUUGUUGCCUAGUUCUGAGCAAACUUUACAACCCAAACAAGCAAUAGUUCAAGACACACUUAGCAACCACAUAAAUGCUACCUAACAAGGAGCUACUUCAUCUUAACUUCCAUGGGAUGUCUCAGACAAGCUUAAAGACCAAUUGGAGUUGGUCAUUGGCCUUGAUCAGAGCUCAACAAUCGUAAGAAAACAUCUAAAUUUAGUUUCUUUGGUACUAAAAGCAAACACUAUAAAUUUAAAAUACACCAUGAAACAAUCCGCCUUUGAUGUUUGCAUCUAGGUAAGCUGCCUACAACACACCCUUUAGGGGUGUGACCCUUCCCCGAACCCCGCGUAAAUGCAACACACUAGGCUGUGCCUUUUUACCAUGAAACAAUCAAGACAAAAAAAAAAUACUUAUCCUCACAAAAAACAACCUAAUUUAAACUCAACCAAACACCUAAAGAGAAAUUUUUUUUGAAAAAACCUCAGCUUCCCUAGUCUAAAAUCCCAAUUAAUUCAUCAAAAAAUCCAAAUCCCGGGAAAAUGAAGGCUUUCCAGAAGUUAACAGUCAGCAAAAAAGCAGUCAGUUCAUUCUGAAUACUGAAUCCAUCAAAACGGGUCAACCCAAAUGGGUCCAUCAAUUGAUAGGUCCAAAACCCGAAAAAAUCAUCAAAAACCCCAAAUCCAUGAAAAAAUGAAGGUUUUCCAGAAUCUAUCACUUAACAUCCAGCAAAAAGCCAGUCAAUUCAUUCUGUCUACUGAAUCCAUCAAAACGGGUCAACCCAAAUAGGUCACAAUAGAUACAGCAGCACAAUUGAUUGAUCAAUUGAUAAGUCCAAAAACAUACAGAACUGAAUAAAAAAAAAAAAUCAAACAAUCCAUAUAUAUACACAAGCUCAAUGAAUUGAAUUAAAACAAAAAGAUAAAAGAUGAACACGAACCAAGACUGAUUGCUUGAGUUACGAGUUGUCUGAACUGAAUUGACUUUAUCGAAUCGAUUUGCUCUCCGAUCCAUCCCAUUUUUGCGUCUCUCUGUUUCUCCUUUUGGUCUGAAAUCAAGAAAUCUUGAGGGCACAAAAGUGAAAGGGCUGUUCGACCUAUAUGGUGAAACCAUUGGGCCGAGUUUUGAAUUUUAGUAAGUAAUGGGGCUUUUUCGAAAUCUUUAUUUGGACGUGCAUUUUAUUUUAUUUAUUUAAUUAAAAAUAUAUAAAUUAAUUGGAAAACUUUAUUUUUUUAAAUAAUCGAAAGAUUAGUUCAAGAUAUGAUCAAAUAAAAGGAAAAAAAGAAUGGUGUACAGAAUUCUAAAUAAAUUUAGGUUGAAGUGAUGAAACGUUAUGAUAAGUGCUUUUUAAUUUAAUGAGUCUCAUGUAAUGCGAAUUUGAAUUACUCAAGUUGAGUGUAAAACGAAAAUAAAUACAUUAUUAGUCAAAUGCAUAAACGACCCACAAAGUUUACUCCAAUUUUCAUUUCGACCCCUCAAUUUUGGUAAUUACCCAGUGACUAGUGUGACAUCAUUUGCUUCAUAUGUGACAAAUCAGACCAAUAAAAUAAAAUAUGUAAAAGACACCUCACAAAAUAAUCCCUACCCCACACCCACUUUUCUACUCCUCCUCCUCAAUAGAAACACCAUUGUCUGUAGUUGAGACGGAAUCAUAAUUUUAAUUUUUUUAUUAGUUUUGAAUCUUAUAAAUUACGAUUUUAAGUGAUAAUAACUUUUUUCUUGUCUAAGUCAAUUUGUGUGCAUCUAUAUUAAAAGUAUACCUUUAAGUGAUUAUAAAAAAAAAUUGUCUUGCGCGCAUGUAGAUUAAACUUACGACUUUAAGUGAUAAUACUAUUUUUUUGUUCAGGCCAACUUGCACUCAUCUAAAUUAAACUUAAUAUCAUGCACCUCCCACUAACAACAAAUAUAAGGUAACUUGUCCUGUGAGACUAGAACCUGAGAAGUCGUAGUGUUCAACUCACUUCGUUGAUCACUAGAUUACAUGUUUGGAUGCUUUAAAUGAUAAUAAUUGAAUUCUAAGUUUAAUGUAUAUAUAACGAUUUAUAAAACAUAUACAUUAUUUAAACAAAAAUUACUGAAUUCGACCAAACAUGAAACUAGACUUCUACCUCCCCAUUGAUUGUCUCGUUUCUUUUUAGUUUGAAACAUAUUAAUGUAAUGAUAUAAUUAUCCAAAGAGGCUCUUAAAUUGUUGUUUUGUGUUGAGACCUAUUUUUCGAUUUGAAUGAUAUGAUCCAUUGUAAGGUAUGAGACAUGAGUCGAUGGGGUUUAAUGGAAUUUUUUUUGUAUGUUGUUCCAUAAGUGUUCCAUUAUCCGACCCCAACUUGUUUGGAAUUGAGCCAUAGUAGCUGUUGUAUAUAUCAUCGUCAAUGAAGUACCACAUUCUAUCAAAGUUAUGGGACUCAAUUAUAUUAUCUCCAAUAGUCUUAUGAAGUUCUUAACAAACACACACUUCUCAACAGGGGCGGAUCUAGGUGGACCCUAGGGGGACCCGAACCCCCUCGUUAAAAAAUUACACUAUAUAUAUAACGUUAAAUUUUGAUUCUAUGUGUAUAUAUAACCCCCUGAAAACAAAGUAUAGGCUUGGCUCAGUGGAUAAGAGGUUCAAGAAACUCCCCUAAGUCAUGGGUUUGAAUCCCAUGGACAACAUUUUUUUCCUCUUUUUAAUGCUUUGGAAAAUGGAACUUUUGGGCUUAGACCUUCUUCUUCUUUUUCAUUAUUUUUUUCUUUUAUUUCAUUUCUUCUUUUUAAUUUGUUUUUGUUUAAAUUUAUUAGACACAUUCUUUUUUUUUUUUAUUUUUUUUAUAUCUAUUAUUCAUAUUUUUCUCAACGCAGCUCUUUUUUCAAAUACUAACUUGAAUAACUCUUUUUUAAAAUGAUGAAUUGUAUUUAACUUGAAACUGAGAUAGAAAUAUAAUUUAUUUUAAAAAAAAAGGUAAAUUAGAUGUAAUUGAAUGAAGAAACUUAAAUAUCGUCAACAUCCUUUUAAAAUAUUAAUUUAUAGAAUUCAUGAAAUUUCUUUUAUAUUUUUAAUUCUAUUUUAGAGAGAUGAAAACUAAACUUAUUUGAUUUAUUCGUUAUUUGACUUUUUUACAAAUUAUGACUAACCUAGUAAAUUGAACUAUAUGAACUAAAAAAAUUGACGAUGCUAUUUAUUUAUCUUCUGAAUAUGCAUUAUAAUAUUAGUAACUCUAUUCUUACACUCUUAGAGAAUCUUGACGAUUUUCAUAGUAAUAUGUGAUUGAAUGGAUACUAAGUUAAAAAAUUUAAAAGUGAAAAAUAAAGUAAAUCAUUACAAAAUAAAAGUAUAAAAAACACAAGAAAUUUUGAGAAUGUUCGAUGGAGCAUGAUAAAAGUAGAAAGAAAUGCUUAAUACGGUAUGAUAAAGUAAGUUAAAUUUAGCAUGAUAAGGUAAAUAUCUUUCUUCCCCGUCUCGCUCCCUUUUUUCAUCAUUUAAUUUUCACGUGUUUUAGGAAUUAACUUAUGUUAUACAGUUGAUCCACUAAAAUUCUUAUGAAUGUAUCUUUGUCCUCGAUAUCUUUGAUUAGUUUAGUCUUUACUUUUAUGAACCAAUGAAAUAUCUAUGGUUCUUGUACAAAGAGCAUGCCGAGGGGCUACUACGCUCACCGCGCACUUUCAUUACCACAUGAACUUCUUCUUUAUACUUUGAACCCCCUGAGAAAAAAUCAUGGGGCCGCCACUGCUUCUCAAGAUGUAAAUACAACAUACAAGACUUAAGAACAGGCUUUACACAAGAACAACAACAACAACGCAUCAAUCCCAAACAAGUUGGUGUCAGCUACGAGUACAAACAUGAAAAUUAUCAAAGUGAAAAUGUCGAUCACAUAGAUUUGUAUUUCGAAUCUCCAUUUAACUAACUAAAGUAUGUACAAUCAUCAAAAGAUCAUCAAGAAGUGCUUAAAGCUUCUCUGUUAUUAUCUAAAAAGCCUCAAUUGACACUUAAUAGUUGAGACUACAAAAGGAAACCCGAUGAUACUUAUUGGCGCCGCGCCACUCAUUAUUGUUCUUGAUCAUUAGCUACAUCUGCAAAACAGAACAAACGCGACUAAAAGCUACUUACUCAGUAUCAAAAUUUUGCUCUUCAAAGGCCUAAUAUGCCGCGAUUUCACCAUGCACCAGACAGAUUUGGAAACAAAAGCAAAACGCAAAGAGUAUAUAAGUAACUAUGAAUUGACAGUGUAAAAGAUUUUCACGUAGUCAGUGCAUAUAACUUAAAUCCAAAGUACCAAGAAGAUUCAAAAGGAUUCCAACCUAUUAGCCAAGAUCGUCAUGAUUUCUGCUGAGUGAAACAAGGCUCCCAGAAAAAUCGAAUUUUAUUGAUGAUCUGUAGCUAUAUUUCUUGCUACGUGGUCUCUCGGAUAAAACCAGUUCGUCUACAGGAAGAGUCAACAAUAUAGCAUCUCUGUUAUCUCUCCAAGUGUUUGUUCUACAAUGCUUCCUUCUGUUAGAUAAAAUAAAGGAUAACGGUCAUUUAGUCGUUUUUCAAGUCAAAUAAACUGAAUCCCAGAAGCCAUAAAGAAUGCCAUAUAAACCACGGAGCAACCAGAGUGGUCAUUAAGGAGAUUCAAAAUAUAACAAAGCAAAACACACAAAGAAGAGAAGGGGAUUCAAUAUCUACUACAUGUACACAAAAAAUAAGAGUUACAGUAAUAGUUAAAAACACACCUAAACUCUCACUUUUUUUGCGAGUUUCAUACCUCAACUAUCCAUUGUUCUCUUUUCUUACCUAAACUAUCAUUCCCUUUGGUAUUAAAACAUACUUCGAUGCUGAGUUGAUCAAAUAUUUGUUUCCAACUGACAACAGGCGUGUGUAGUCCAACUCAACAUCGAGGUGUGUUUUAUUACAAAGGGAGUGAUAAUUGAGGUAUGAAACUAGCGAAAAGGUGAUAGUUUAAGUGUGCGUUUUAUCAUUAAACUUGUAUAUGGAGUGUAAUUUCCGUCUAAGAGGAUUCAUACAGGGGAGGAUGUACCAUUAUAGGUACGGUGUUCAAUUGACCCCAUAACGUUCGAUGCAAAACAUAAACUUAUAUGUAACAAUUUACUAAAGUUGCAAUGAAUAAUAGACAUGAACGAACCCAUAAUAUUAAAAAUAUAAUGUAUUCAAUGCUAAGAAUAUUAAACUCGUAGAAUUUAAAUCCUGAAUCCACCUCAGACGUACCUAUGAUCUGCCUGGUGAUUUUUAUGAUCGAAGCUCAUACGUUCCUCCUCAGUAGUCACUUCAUUCUCCAGAUCAACAGUUACAACACCUUGGAGAAUUCUAUUCAUCCAGGCACUACUACUCGAACACGAAUCAUCUUUAACUCUCCUCCAUGAACCUCGAUUCAACGAGUAAACCUCAGCAUGCGAAUCGAAUUUCCUCUCAUGUUGAACUACCCUCACUACUUUGUAAUCAUUGCUUUUUGGAGCAAAUCCGAACCCGAAACCAACAGCAACAUAUCCCAUUUGAACAUUUGGUUUAGGCAAAUGUUUGAAUUCAUUCGUUAAAGGAUUCCAUAGGUAAGCAAAAGUAACAUGAGAAGAUACAGGCCCAAUAAUACAGAUAAUUCCAUUAACAGGCUCCAAUAGCAUGAAUUCUAGGGAUUGCAAUUCGAUCGGAAUUUUAAAUCUUCGAAGCCCGCGAAGCCACAAUUCGUCAGCAUUUGUCGUCAGUGUGUAUAUCUUAUCGGAAACUUGAUCCAAAUGAACGGCGAUUUCACGUGUCAAUAACAGAGUACGCCACGAUUUGCAGACGGAUCGGAAUUGAAAGAGGGAUUUCAUUGAUAAUCGGGUGAGGAUAUUGAUUUGAACGUCUAUUGUCAGAUCAAUGAGGUUUGUUUCCCUUUGAUGCGACGACGACGAUGAGGAAGGAGUGAUUGCAGUGUUUUUUUCGUCUUUCACAGCAUUCAUCAAUGGCGGAAUUUUAGUUUUUUUCGCCAUUGUUGAUGAUAAUAUAGCAGGAACCAUAAGAAUAAAAAAGUUUGGUAAAUAAUUUUCCAUGACCAAUUUUUUGUGAUUUUAGAAGCAUUUGAGUGGAUAGUUGAACUCUUUUAAACUAUCACCAUUUUGCGUGUUUAAUACCUAAACUAUUGGAUAUUUCUGUUACUCAGGAUUAUAACUCACUAUUAGAAAUACGUAGACAUAGGACGGUUAACUUGGCUUCCGUUGGCAACUGUGACAUUUAACUUUGGAUCAGCACAAGUAUGUGUUUAAACUCUCGUCUAGUGAUUGGUUGAGAGUAGAUACAACCGUUUUGUUCUUAAUUGUCACUCGAUUUAAGGCGUGAUAAUCAACACAAAUCCUCAUUUCCAAAUGUGGCCCGUUCUUAGACCUAUGAAAACAGAAAAUAACUAUUAAAGCUACUUGAAACUUCAACAAGCAAAAAAAUCAAAAUAUUUUUUUUUGUUGAAUUUUAUAUAUCCAUUGAAGAAGAUAGCAGUCUUAUCUAUACAAAAAUAGACGCAACUUCAAAAUUCUAAGAAGAACGUUGCACACUAAAAGCAACAAACUCGAUCUACAAACAAAAAAGGCCAUCCAGUGCCCUAAGCUCCUCCACUAUGUGCGAAUCGGGGUAAGAGCCGGACCAGAAGGAUCUCUGUUUCCACAGCUAAAACCAGAGGUGAAUUUAGGAUUUCUAGAACAUAGUGCAACCCACAACCUUAGCCUGCAUUUCUGCAAGCGGUUGUUUCCACAACUCGAACCAAAGGCAAAUCUAGCAUUUCUAGAACACGAGUGCACCACUAAAUUUUUUUUAAAAAUAAAAUGAAUUAAGCGAAUCAAGUGCAUCAUUUAGUCUUUUUAUAGUCAACAAAUAAUAUUAUACUAGUUUUAGAAAAUCUAUGCAUAAAAUAUUAGUUUACGGAGAGAUCAUGGGUUCACACGCCCAUUAUUUUGGCUUGUUGGUCACAUGGAGGUCUAUCUAUCCCUUUCAAACUUGAUCUGCAAACAACUAUUCUGAUUGAAAAUGUACAUAGCCAAAACUUUAGAGCCCCUUAUCAUAUAUUUUUCCAUCUUUUUUUUUGUUUUUUAUUUUACAAUCAUGGGAUGGUUAGUUCAUUUAUUUUUACUUUUAAUCUUUUGUCGAUAAUAGUUUUGGUAGCUCUUUUACAUUUAUGAUUGAAAAAAUAUAUUAACCAAAUUAUACAAACAAAAAGUUGCCAUUACAAAUCCCAUUUUGACUUUGCCAUCUAUGGUAUAACAAUAAUACAUGUUAAUAUUUCUAAUGAGUUUUUGUCACAACAAAUGAUACGUGCAAUAUACAUGAUUUUUGAAAUGAAAACCUAAGAGACGUUAUGAAGUGUGUCAUUUUAUUUUUUAAAUUCUUCUAUAUUAUUUAACAAUCCCAGAAGAGGAACUACAUUUUCAUUUCAAUUUUCUAUCCGGUUGGUGCAUAGGUUCAAAAUUCCAGAGAGUAUGAGUCCGUCCCCUCUACCCUCCUCCCAACUUAAGUAACAAGCUCUGCUCGGGGCAGAAGCUUGCAGCAGGGUUUGAAAACCCCAACUUGUACGUUAUCCACACAUCACAUGCCACGUCGAAGAAAAAAGAAAAAAAAAGAAGGGGGGGGGGGGGGGGGGGGGGUCUGAUCAUGUCUAGAAAGAGGAUUCUAUUAGUCCAAAAAUGAGUUAUGAUUCUUGAAAAUGGCAGAUACAUAGUUUCUCUCUAAAUUUGUGCCAGUGAUAUGAAGGAAGCCAUUGUCCACUAAUCUUUUGAUGUGAUGACCAACAAUCCCAAUGCACCUAUCAAUAUAUACUGCAAUAAGAAGAAAGGAAAAAAGAGUCUAACAUUAGAAUUUCAUUGCACCUAGAUAGUUAACCUUAUAAAACACUUUACUGCAUAAUGUAAAAGCAGAAUUAGAAGUUUGAUUCACAACAAACCUUGAUAAUUGGUUUUUCAGUCAUGAUUAUCGUUACCCAACCAACAUAAGGCAAGAACCUGAAAUUAACAAGCAAGUAGUUCAGCAUACAAGGAACAAAUAGGUUACACACAAAGGGGUGCUGAAUACAACAACAUAUUCUGUAUAUUCUCACAAGUGGGGUCUAGGGAGGGUGGGGCGUACAUAGACCUUACCCCUACCUUUGUGAGGUAGAGAGGUUGUUCCUGAUAGACUCGCCUCAAAGACAAAACGUUUUCCAGAACAGGUUUGAAAACAAUGAUGGAAAUAUUGAAGAAAGAGAAGUACUGACAAUAAAAGUAGUACUACAAAAAGAAUGAAAAACGAAAACAAAAAGAGAGAUAGAGGAGUGACUACUUCAAUUCUUUCUCAACUGUAAACAGGUUCAUGGAACUCCCCUAGCAUGGAAAGUAGUGGCAUAAAAAAUGAUAACUUCUGUGAAAAGUUUACUUUACGUGGAGAAUUUUCCAACGGAAAAUGAUUAACAAUAUGAAUUCUGCAAAUUUAUAAUGGAUUAGUUGUUGGAGUUUGCAAUAUUGCAUAGAGUAGAACCGAAAGAGAGUGGUGCAUAUUCAAAUAAGAUAAAUCAUAGAAGGGAAUGAGCGCCAAGUCCGCUAACCAAGGCAACACCACUGGAAGACCUCACAACCUAACAACUGCUGAUAGGUCUCUUAAGCAGAGGACCUCAAGAAAUGAGAAACCAAAGAUCUAAAGAGCAGAUCUAACUGUCAACUCACCCAACAGCUCUCCCCAUGAUGUGAUGACGUUGCAGCCAGAGUUGACCUUGAGCAUAUAGAAGUCUGUCAUCUUCUAAGUUGCUGUCUCCUAAAGAUAUGAAUCAUAAACAAGAAAGAAAAUUAAUAGUCAUCAUUGAGGACUAAGAACCAUAAAACCUCGCUUAACAAUAUUUAGGGGACAAGCAAGUAACAGAAGGCUUUUUCAGUUAAUAAGCACAAACAAACAGAGCAGAGAGAUUAUUGUCUGAAGUAAACUUUUUCAUUAGAUGGAAAAUUAUGAAAUGAUUGAUGUGCACCUUAUGAAUUGUAAUAUACUUAUGAAAAGCCGAUUCUCAAUGCAGAGAGAGAGAGAGAGAGAGGAAGGGAUCUAUACAACACAUCCUUGACUUCUACCUAAUAUGCAUCAUAAAAUUACCUUUUGUAAGGACGUUAACUUCUCCAGUGUCUUUGCGCUCGUGAACCUACAAGGGGAAACAUAAAGAAAUAAUGGUGGUAAACUGGUUUAGUUUACCCAAGAGGAAGAAAAAGUGGGCAGACAGCAAAUGUAGGAUGCAACCAAAUUAGUUAAGUACAGGAAACACGUGCCUUCUUAUCAUAUCAUUAUUCAACAAUAUUUUAAUUCUUGUUCCCUUUUCGUUCAGAGGGUUGGUACUUGGGUUGGGUUUGGAAGUAAAUAACAAAGUUGUAUUACAAAUUGAAUUAUCACGUGCAGAAAAUGAUACAGGAAGUUGCUGAUAAUAUUUGUGAAAUGUAUUGUCUAUUCUCGGUUAGACUCAUCAGCGGUAUAUGACUCCAAUUUACUUUUUUAGGAAGACAGAAAUGGCAAAUCAUCUGUCAGGCUCCAAACCGAGCCUACUCUGAUUGGUUGCAUACCCUAAAUCUAGUUAAGGAAAGAGGGUCAUUCUAUCACCUUAGUCACUUCAGAAUGUGCUUUUAUUUAUCAGUCCCUUAAAUCCUUCUUUUCCUUGACAAAUAUUGAUAAUUAAUUGCACAUUCCUUGUUUUACUACCAGUGCACAGAAACAUUAGAUGCAGGCAACCAAGUUAUUAUAAUCAAGCACAACCAAAUGAAAGCAAAUUUGGUAUAGAGAGAAAACUUCCCAACAUACCUUUAUUACUCGAUGAACAAUUGGAAUUUCAC